UGGGGCGUAGCCAAGCGGUAAGGCACCGGACUCUGACUCCGCCAUUCGUUGGUUCAAAUCCAACCGCCCCAGCCA
rnacentral:tRNA from 1 species